ACGUUUUUCUCGUGGUGCACGGCCAUAACACGGUGUGCACAAUAUGUACGCAUUAGUCCGCUUUUUGAACAGCUUCGACAAGAAAGAGUACGUAGUGCCGGUUCACAACGUCAAGGACUUCCACCCGGCAAACAAGGAUGACUUCAACAAAACUAAAGUUUAUACGACACUCUGGAUCGACGAAGACCCGGAUAUUACAGGAUCCUACACCUGUCGAAUUCUGCUGCUGGCAGACUCGGAAGAAGAGUUGCAUAAGCAAAGAAGCAACAAGCGUCUUCCGCGCCUUGUGAUAAAUGCUUCAGACAUGGAGCAUGAAGAAGAACUCAUCGACCUCGACUUGCAGCAGCCAGCAGCAACAGCACGCUGACUGCAAAAGAGGCACACAAGAAGCUUAAACAGAGUCAGGCAGCAUCCAAAAGUGCUGCUUAUGACAAAAUA
rnacentral:misc_RNA from 1 species